CAGCCGCCGCGGGAAUACGUAGGGUGCAAGCGUUAAUCGGAAUUACUGGGCAUAAAGCGUGCGCAGGCGGUGUUGUAAGACUGAUGUGAAAUCCCCGGGCUCAACCUGGGAACUGCAUUGGUGACUGCAACGCUGGAGUGCGGCAGAGGGGGAUGGAAUUCCGCGUGUAGCAGUGAAAUGCGUAGAUAUGCGGAGGAACACCGAUGGCGAAGGCAAUCCCCUGGGCCUGCACUGACGCUCAUGCACGAAAGCGUGGGGAGCAAACAGGAUUAGAUACCCCGGUAGUCCCUGUCUCUUAUAC
rnacentral:rRNA from 1 species